GACGAACGCUGGCGGCGUGCUUAACACAUGCAAGUCGAGCGGUAAGGCCCUUUCGGGGGUACACGAGCGGCGAACGGGUGAGUAACACGUGGGUGACCUGCCCUCAGCUCUGGGAUAAGCCUGGGAAACUGGGUCUAAUACCGGAUAUGACUCCAUGACGCAUGUUGUGGGGUGGAAAGCCUUGUGCGGCUGAGGAUGGGCCCGCGGCCUAUCAGCUUGUUGGUGGGGUGAGGCCUACCAAGGCGACGACGGGUAGCCGGCCUGAGAGGGCGACCGGCCACACUGGGACUGAGACACGGCCCAGACUCCUACGGGAGGGCAGCAGUGGGGAAUCUUGCGCAAUGGGCGAAAGCCUGACGCAGCGACGCCGCGUGAGGGAUGACGGCCU
rnacentral:rRNA from 1 species